rnacentral:rRNA from 1 species
GUGAGGAAUAUUGGUCAAUGGGCGAGAGCCUGAACCAGCCAAGUCGCGUGAAGGAAGAAGGAUCUAUGGUUCGUAAACUUCUUUUGCAGGGGAAUAAAGUGCGGGACGUGUCCUGUUUUGUAUGUACCCUGAGAAUAAGGAUCGGCUAACUCCGUGCCAGCAGCCGCGGUAAUACGGAGGAUCCGAGCGUUAUCCGGAUUUAUUGGGUUUAAAGGGUGCGUAGGUGGUUUGAUAAGUCAGCGGUGAAAGUUUGCAGCUUAACUGUAAAAAUGCCGUUGAAACUGUCGGAUUUGAGUGUAAAUGAGGUAGGCGGAAUGCGUGGUGUAGCGGUGAAAUGCAUAGAUAUCACGCAGAACUCCGAUUGCGAAGGCAGCUUACUAAGCUACAACUGACACUGAAGCACGAAAGCGUGGGGAUCAAACAGGAUUAGAUACCCCAGUAGUCC